AUACGUAGGGGGCAAGCGUUGUCCGGAAUGAUUGGGCGUAAAGGGCGCGUAGGCGGCCCGGUAAGUCUGGAGUGAAAGUCCUGUUUUUAAGAUGGGAAUUGCUUUGGAUACUGUCGGGCUUGAGUGCAGGAGAGGUAAGUGGAAUUCCCAGUGUAGCGGUGAAAUGCGUAGAGAUUGGGAGGAACACCAGUGGCGAAGGCGACUUACUGGACUGUAACGGACGCUGAGGCGCGAAAGUGUGCGGAGCAAACAGGAUUAGAUACCCUGAUAGUCCACACUGUAAACGAUGAAUGCUAGGUGUAGGGGGUAUCGACCCCUUCUGUGCCGCAGUCAACACAAUAAGCAUUACGCCUGGGGAGUACGGCCGCAAGGUUGAAACUCAAAUGAAUUGACGGGG
rnacentral:rRNA from 1 species